rnacentral:ncRNA from 1 species
GUAUGGGUCACCGCAAGGUUUCUGGUGAUUUGCACCAGACAUUACAUGUGUGGUCCGCCCCGCGGGCUACGAGCGGCCAAGCCGCAAGCAUCAACCCGCCGGUGUCGAUACCGGC